rnacentral:rRNA from 1 species
ACAUAACUGAUGCCUCCGCGUAUCGACUUUGUGCGCAUUUUAGCUAUUAUGUGUUCUUUUAAUUAAAAUGAUUCUUUUUAAGAUUCAUCUAUUAAAAAUUUGCUUCGGCAUAAUUUUUUUUGAUGAUCUUGUUACUUUGAGUAAAUUAGAGUGUUCAAAGCAAACAGAUAUAGCAUUUGUGCGUUUGAAUACUACAGCAUGGAAUAACAAAAUUGAACAAGUCAGAAUUUUUUUGUUCUUUUUUCUUAUUUUGGCUUAGUUACGAUUAAUAGGAGUAGCUUGGGGGCAUUUGUAUUCAGAUGUCAGAGGUGAAAUUCUUAGAUUUUCUGGAGACAAACAACUGCGAAAGCAUUUGCCUAAAAUACUUCCAUUAAUCAAGAACGAAAGUUAAGGGAGUGAAGACGAUCAGAUACCGUCGUAAUCUUAACCAUAAACUAUGCCGACUAGGCUUUGGAUGAAGGAUUUUAAAAUAAGAGUUUUUCUUUUCUCUCCGGAGAUUAGAACUCUUAGAUUGCUUCCUUCAGUGCCUUAUGAGAAAUCAAAGUCUUUGGGUUCUGGGGCGAGUAUUCGCGCAAGCGAGAAAGUUAAAAGAAUUGACGGAAGGGCACCACCAGGCGUGGAGCUUGCGGCUUAAUUUGACUCAACACGGGAAAACUCACUAGUUUAAGACAAGAGUAGGAUUGACAGAUUAAUAGCUCUUUCUUGAUUUCUUGGAUGGUGAUGCAUGGCCGUUUUUAGUUCGUGAAUAUGAUUUGUCUGGUUAAUUCCGAUAACGAACAAGAUCUUAACCUGCUAAUUAGCGGCAAAUACGAUAUAUUCUUAUGUAGAAUUGAAUAUAGUGGAUUUGUUGGAUUUUGAAGAAAAUAUUGGAAUUACGUUAAAUGUGAUUCCUUUCCCUUUUCUACUUAAUUUACAUUUCCAUCUAUUUCUUUUUUGCGUAUGAAUGUAUUUGCUUGAUUGUAAAGCUUCUUAGAGGAACGAUGUGUG